GACGAACCGUGCGAACGUUAUUCGGAGUCACUGGGCUUAAAGCGCGUGUAGGCGGGUCGGCACGUCGGUCGCUGAAAUCCCCCGGCUCAACCGGGGAAGGGGCGCCGAUACGGCCGGCCUGGAGGGACGUAGGGGGGGCUGGAACUUCCGGUGGAGCGGUGAAAUGCGUUGAGAUCGGAAGGAACGCCCGUGGCGAAAGCGAGCCCCUGGACGUCUACUGACGCUGAGACGCGAAAGCCAGGGGAGCGAACGGG
rnacentral:rRNA from 1 species